rnacentral:SRP_RNA from 1 species
GUCGAGCUUAGUAACGUGGGCUUGUAACCCGGCAUUAAGGUGGUAGAAUAUUGGGCUUAACCAAAUGGUUGGGCUUGAUGGGCUUAUUUCUGGCCUGCCCUAUCCAAGCACAGUGUUGGAUAAUGAGGCCCAAAUGUAAGUAUGGGCUUCUUGAUUCCUAAAGUGGGGCGGAUCGACGAGGCUGGCUUCAUAGAGCAGUAAACAGCUCCCGCUCUGUGUAGUGGAAGGAUAACGAGUCGGUGUCUAUCAAGUCCAGUAAAAGCUUGACGGAUUGCUCCAAAUAAACCUCCACCUUU